rnacentral:lncRNA from 1 species
GUACCACUAAUCCUUCUCACUCGAAUGCCUUUUCAAAAGGACCAAAGACUUAAAUAGGAAGAUUCUAAGAUCUAUGUGAAGGAAAUUACAAAUGAUUAUGAAUACUAUGAUAAUGCUAAUUGCAUUUGGAGUUAUUUGGGUGGGGUAGAUCCUAUAAAAAUUAAAGACAUUGCUGAAAAGAUGGUGCAGUGGAAACUACAGGCU